GAUGAACGCUAGCGGCAGGCUUAACACAUGCAAGUCGAGGGGUAUAGGUUUUCGGACCUAGAGACCGGCGCACGGGUGCGUAACGCGUAUGCAAUCUACCUUUCACAGAGGGAUAGCCCAGAGAAAUUUGGAUUAAUACCUCAUAGUAUAGCAGUUUCGCAUGAAACCACUAUUAAAGUUCCAACGGUGAAAGAUGAGCAUGCGUCCCAUUUGCUAGGUGGUAAGGCAACGGCUUACCAUGGCUACGAUGGGUAGGGGUCCUGAGAGGCGGAUCCCCCACCAUGGUACUAAGACACGGCCCCGACUCCUACGGGAGUCAUCUGCGAGGAAUAUUGGUCAAUGGACGCAAGUCUGAGCCAGCCAUGCCGCGUGCAGGAUGACGGUCCUAUGGAUUGUAACCUGCUUUUGUACGAGAAGAAACAUUCCGACGUGUCGGAACUUGACGGUAUCGUAAGAAUAAGGAUCGUCUAACUCCGUGCCAGCCGCCGCCGUAACAC
rnacentral:rRNA from 1 species